rnacentral:rRNA from 1 species
GAUGAACGCUGGCGGCGUGCCUAAUACAUGCAAGUCGAGCGAACAGAUAAGGAGCUUGCUCCUUUGACGUUAGCGGCGGACGGGUGAGUAACACGUGGAUAACCUACCUAUAAGACUGGGAUAACUUCGGGAAACCGGAGCUAAUACCGGAUAACAUAUUGAACCGCAUGGUUCAAUAGUGAAAGGCGGCUUUGCUGUCACUUAUAGAUGGAUCCGCGCCGUAUUAGCUAGUUGGUAAGGUAACGGCUUACCAAGGCAACGAUACGUAGCCGACCUGAGAGGGUGGUCGGCCACACUGGAACUGAGACACGGUCCAGGCUCCUACGGGAGGCAGCAGUAGGGAAUCUUCCGCAAUGGGCGAAAGCCUGACGGAGCAACGCCGCGUGAGUGAUGAAGGUCUUCGGUUCGUAAAACUCUGUUAUCAGGGAAGAACAGAUGUGUAAGUAACUGUGCACAUCUUGACGGUACCUGAUCAGAAAGCCACGGCUAACUACGUG